CUCUGUCUCCAAAAAAAAAAAGACUCAAGACCAGUAUCUCUUAGCCAAGACCAAGCAAUUAACUUCUUUCUCUCCCAUCCUUUCCAGAGUUCCUCAGUGAUAUUCCUCUCUGGGAUUGCUUUGUUUUUUUCUGGGAUGGCUGUACUGGAGAUUGUGGAGUCAGGUGGAAGAUUUGGAAUAACAGGGUUAGAAACCCCAGGAAGAACUCAGAAGCUCCUCCUGGCUCACCUGCAUCCUCAAAUAAGCCUUCUGUCCAGUUCUAAUCUCCAGCCCAUCGACCUCCGCUGGAGGAAUGGGGGCCAGUGCUGGAAGGCCUGCGUGUUGGUCACCCAGUUUGCAGUCCACAUAGAGAUGUAGGGCAGGGCUGGCUCUGGAGGGGCCUCGGAGUCGCAGGAGAACUGUGUGUGUGCGCCCAUCGGCCAGGCCUGCUUGCUGUAGGUUCACGGCAUGGACUUUGCCAUCCUCCCGCUGGUACCGCACCAGUACUGCCCAGGAGGGGAGAUCAGUAUGGGCACUGUCCUCCCAUCCCCUGCCUCCCAGUUGAGCCUUGGAUCAACUCUGCUGGAUACAUCUCUAGAGCCCCCAUCCCUAAUUCUACUAUGUAACUCUCAACACCUUGUAUGUAAUAGGUAGACAAUAAAUGUUUUUCAAAUUGGUU